AUUGAACGCUGGCGGCAGGCCUAACACAUGCAAGUCGAACGGUAACAGGAAACAGCUUGCUGUUUCGCUGACGAGUGGCGGACGGGUGAGUAAUGUCUGGGAAACUGCCUGAUGGAGGGGGAUAACUACUGGAAACGGUAGCUAAUACCGCAUAACGUCGCAAGACCAAAGAGGGGGACCUUCGGGCCUCUUGCCAUCGGCUGUGCCCAGAUGGCAUUAGCUAGUAGGUGGGGUAACGGCUCACCUAGGCGACGAUCCCUAGCUGGUCUGAGAGGAUGACCAGCCACACUGGAACUGAGACACGGUCCAGACUCCUACGAGAGGCAGCAGUGGGGAAUAUUGCACAAUGGGCGCAAGCCUGAUGCAGCCAUGCCGCGUGUAUGAAGAAGGCCUUCGGGUUGUAAAGUACUUUCAGCGGGGAGGAAGGGAGUAAAGUUAAUACCUUUACUCAUUGACGUUACCCGCAGAAGAAGCACCGGCUAACUCCGUG
rnacentral:rRNA from 1 species